UGGAGCUGGUGGGAUCACACCAUGGCCUGGGUCCCUCUCCUCCUCGCGGUGCUCGCCCACACCUCAGGUUCUCUGGUCCAGGCAGCGCUGACUCAGCCGUCCUCAUUGUCUCACAAGGUGGGAGACACCGUCAAGAUCACCUGCCCUGGCCUUAGCAGUAGCUGGCCUAGUGCUGGCUGGUACCAGCAGAAGGUCCCUGGCAGUGCCCCUGUCACUGUGAUCUAUGAAAAUGACAAGAGACCCUCAGACAUCCCUUCGUGAUUCUCCGGAUCCCUGUCCGGCUCCACGGCCACAUUAACCAUCACUGGGGUCCAAGCCGAGGACAAGGCUGUCUAUUUCUGUGGUGGCUGGGACAGCAGCACUUAUGCUGGUAUUGUGACACAGAGAGAUGUGGAAAUGAGGUUCCCUGGUCCAGGCAGCACCACUGAGUCAGCCGUCCUCAUUGUCAGCCAAGGUGGGAGAAACCAUCAAGAUCACCUGCUCUGGUGA